CGAAUUUUGGGCGUAAGCGCGCGCAGGUGUUUCUUAAGUCUGAUGUGACAGCCCACGGCUCAUCCGUGGAGGGUCAUUGGAAACUGGGAGACUUGAGUGCAGAAGAGGAAAGUGGAAUUCCAUGUGUAGCGGUGAAAUGCGUAGAGAUAUGGAGGAACACCAGUGGCGAAGGCGACUCUCUGGUCUGUAACUGACACUGAGGCGCGAAAGCGUGGAGAGCAAACAGGAUUAGAUACCCUGGUAGUCCACGCCGUAAACGAUGAGUGCUAAGUGUUAGAGGGUUUCCGCCCUUUAGUGCUGAAGUUAACGCAUUAAGCACUCCGCCUGGGGAGUACGGCCGCAAGGCUGAAACUCAAAGGAAUUGACGGGGGCCCGCACAAGCGGUGGAGCAUGUGGUUUAAUUCGAAGCAACGCGAAGAACCUUACCAGGUCUUGACAUCCUCUGAAAACCCUAGAGAUAGGGCUUCUCCUUCGGGAGCAGAGUGACAGGUGGUGCAUGGUUGUCGUCAGCUCGUGUCGUGAGAUGUUGGGUUAAGUCCCGCAACGAGCGCAACCCUUGAUCUUAGUUGCCAUCAUUAAGUUGGGCACUCUAAGGUGACUGCCGGUGACAAACCGGAGGAAGGUGGGGAUGACGUCAAAUCAUCAUGCCCCUUAUGACCUGGGCUACACACGUGCUACAAUGGACGGUACAAAGAGCUGCAAGACCGCGAGGUGGAGCUAAUCUCAUAAAACCGUUCUCAGUUCGGAUUGUAGGCUGCAACUCGCCUACAUGAAGCUGGAAUCGCUAGUAAUCGCGGAUCAGCAUGGCGCGGUGAAUACGUUCCCGGGCCUUGUACACACCGACGGUCACACCACGAGAGUUUGUAACACCCGAAGUCGGUGGGGUAACCUUUUUGGAGCCAGCCG
rnacentral:rRNA from 1 species